AUGCCUCAGACAGGCAUUGGACAUCUCCAAGAGCAACAAGUUCAACUCCUCAUAGACCAGUGUAUUCUUUGUAUUCUUAUUGAUGAAAAUGACAGUAAUAUUGGAACUGAGACCAAGAAGAAUUGUCACGAGAAUGAAAACAUUGGGAAUGGAUUAUUGCAUCAAGCUCUUAGUGUCUUCUUACUCAACACCAAAAUGAGCUACAGUGACAGCAGAGAUCAGAUGCUGAAAUUACCUUUCGAGCCAGUUUCACCAAUACUUGGUUGUAGUCAUCCAUUAAGUAAUCCAGACAAGCUUGAGAGAAAUGAUGUCAUUGACAUAAGUUGAGUAGCACAGAGGCAUCUAAAAGCUGAAUUAGGAAUUCCCAUGGAAGAGGCUCCUCCAGAAGAAACCUAUUAUCUAAUAUCAACUUGCAGCGAAGUCCAAUCUGAUGGCAUCUGGGGAGAACAUAAAACUGAUUAUAUUUUGUUUGUGAGGAAGAACAUAACUUCGAAUUCAGAUCCCAGUGAGAUAAAAAGCUAUUUUCUGUGUGUCAAAGGAAGAGCUAGAACUUCUGAGAAAAGUAGUCAUUGGUGAAAUUAAAAUAACACCAUGAUUUCAAGUUAUUAUAGAGACUUUUCUCUUUAAAUGGUGGGAUAACUUAAGUCAUUUGAAUCAGUUUAUUGACCAUGAAAAAUAUAUAGGAUG
rnacentral:lncRNA from 1 species